rnacentral:siRNA from 1 species
UUCCGAAAGCUGCCUUAACGUUG